GUCAUCAAAGUAAUUCUAGUAAUUAGGUUGAAGACUUUAUUUUAUACACUACUGAUAACCACGCUUUUUUCAGGCAGGAGAGGCCCUGGCCGAGCUGAAGAGACGGUGAAGCUGGAGAUGGAGUCCUCGAGCUCCUACCUGGAGUUGUUCCGGACACCGAGCAAUAUCCGGGCCUCCAUCAUCGUUAUCACCCUCUCCUUCUUCCAAGGGGCCAGCGGGAUCGUCGCCGUACUCACAUAUGGCUCUACCACCCUACCCAGGUACGAUGGGUUCUGGAAGCCGUAUCCAACGAUGGCCCUGGUUAGCGCCCUAACCUGGUCUUCAACCUCGUCUCUAUCGCGCUUAUCGAUAAGCUCGGUCGGCGGCCCUUGAGUAUCAUCUCCAACGCUGGCGACGCUCUUGGGACCGGGAUCGUGGCUUUCUACUUCUUCCUCGACCAGAACACCGAGUGGGACACCACCAACAUCAAAUGGCUCCCCUACAUCGGCAUGAUCCUCUACAUUUCCUCCUAUGGAGGUGCCAUGGCCGUCAUACCGCACAUUCUUGUUGGGGAGCUCUUCCCGGCCAAUGUCAGAUACCAUGCCUCCGUCGUCUCGGUGAUUUGCAUCGCCGGGAGUUGUGCGCUGUUCAACUACAUCUACUUGGGCGUGAGCCGUGCGGUCGGUGUGGCGGCCAUGUUCGCCAUUUUCACCGUUUGCAGUUUCGCCGCCGCCAUCUUCUCCUGGCUUUACGUAUUCGAGACGAAGAACAUGUCUCUCUCGGAGAUCCAAGCCAUCAUGACAGGGCGACAACGAACGGGCAGCAGGCCAUCGCACGAGUUGAACAAUCUAUCUUAACUUAUUUUAGGGGCUUAGAGGACAAAGCGCGUAAGUGCAGUUUUUGA
rnacentral:lncRNA from 1 species